rnacentral:misc_RNA from 1 species
UUGAAGAUUGUUUACCUUGUGCGUAAGGUUUGGCCACUUGUUAUUGAGGUUAGCUAUUUGUUACUUUCCUUGUGUUGUGGGGCGCAUUAUUGUUGAUUGUUGCUUGUGGUGCCGUGAGCUUGCUUGCUAUUGUUGAUAGCUUGUUAUUACUUGGGGUGCUUGAGUGGACUUGGCCAUUGGGAGUUUGAUGUUCACCUAGUUGCCGUGAGUAUUUAUUGGUUGCUUGUGGUAUUGAGUGGUUCAGCCAUUGUUGGGGUUGGAUAUAACCUUAUUGCCGUGUACUCUUCCUUGUUGUGAG